rnacentral:lncRNA from 1 species
GAAUCUUACGGAUAAGAGGCAUUAAUUAGGUAAUGCAGGGAGAAAAGAGCAUUAAGGCAGAGGAAACACUGUGUGUAAAGGUCUUGCAAUGGAAAGAGAAAUGGCCUUAGAAGCAAAGACUGAAGAUUUCUGAAGAAGAAGCAAUCAUGCCUCAAUAAAGCAACCUAAGAAACCCUGCCUGAGUUUCCAGCCUGCUGGCCCAUCCUGCAGAUUUAGAACUGAAAACUACAUCAACUAAUUUGCCUGCAUUCCCACUUUACCAGCCAGCCCUACAGCUUUCAAACUUGCCAGCCCCUACAGUCAUGCUUUAUUCCCGAAGGACACGGUGGAUAUUUUGUGUGGCCCAAGAAAAGCAAAUGCUGGAAAAAAGCACUAGAAACUGCCCUUUGAAGUUUGCUACCAAGAUCUAAUAUCUUGACAGACCAAAUGGGUACUUGGUGCCUACUGAGAAGCCUUUACUCCCUUUACUCUUCCUCAGAUCAAUGAAGGACAAAUUGACUUCUCUGAAAAAGGUUCGGCUUUUUGGGAAUUUUCCCUACUUUGUGUAAUUUUUUUAUUCUGUAGAGCUGGCCCAGACAGCCCUACAAAUGUCUCACUUCCACCACAUUUGGGAACGCAGGCCUCUGUAGGUGACAUAAUUCAUCCACUACACAAAUCAUGAUCCAUUCAGCAUUUCCAUAUUAUCUUCAUUUGUCAUAUUUUAAAAAUAAAUAUACACACAAGUUUUACUAUUUGAUUUCAAAAUAUCUGGAGAAAAGCACACUGAUGAAAACAUUGUUCCUCUUUUAAAAAAUUACUCUAUUAAACUUAUCACCAAGGCAUGGUCAGAACAUUGGAGAUGGAGAAGCUUGAGAGAUGGUCUUUAUUCUUGUUCUCCAGUAAAAUGAUUUCUUUCUUUUUAACAAAUAUUUUAUUUUAUUAUUAUUUUUUUCAACUUUUAUUUUAG